rnacentral:rRNA from 1 species
GAGAGAUAAGGCUAAUGGUGGAUGCCUUGGCAGUUUAAGCCGAAGAAGGACGGAUGCUAACAUCCGAAAACAACGAUGAGUCUGUAAGCAGACGUUAUCAAUCGUUGGUUUCCGAAUGGGGUAACCCUCCCGAAUAAAAUCGGGAAGCUUAAACCGGAAAUUAGAGGUGAGAAGUUGGUUUUUUUCAACUUCUACCUUCUUUUUUCCGGUUUAAGCGGGGAACCUGGGGAACUGAAACAUCUCAGUACCCAGAGGAAAAGAAAUCAUAUUGAUCCGCCGUUUUAGGCGGAUGAGAUUCCGUUAGUAGCGGCGAGCGAAAGCGGAACAGCCUAAACCACGCCUUUUUAGGCGUGGGGUUGCGGGACCACAGUAGAGAGUUUUUCUAAAUAGAAGAAAGGUCUGGAAAGGCCUGCCACAGAGAGUGACAGCCUCGUAUUCGAAAUUUAGAAAAACCUCGGUGGACAUCCCAAGUACCACGAGGCACGGCAAACCUUGUGGGAAGCUGGGUCGGUCACGAUCCAAGGCUAAAUACUUAAACUGACCGAUAGUGCACUAGUACCGUGAGGGAAAGGUGAAAAGAACCCCGAUAAGGGGAGUGAAAUAGAUACUGAAACCAUUAGCUAACAAACAGACGGAGCUCGCAGAAUUAGGCGAGUGACGUCGUGCCUAUUGAAGAAUGAGUCAGCGAGUUUUCCAACUGUGCUUACAGUUUAAUCCCGACUGAAACGGGAGGAGGCUGAGCGAAAGCGAGUCCUAAUAGGGCGAAUUUGCACGGUUGGAAAGACCCGAAACUGGGUGAGCUAACCAUGGACAGGGUGAAUCCCGAUGAAAAUCGGGAGGAGGCCCGGACCCGUUGUCGGUGAAAUGGCAUGGGAGGAUCUGUGGUUAGUGGUAAUAUGCCUAUCGAACCCAGAGAUAGCUGGUUCUCCUCGAAAUAUAUUUAGGUAUAGCCUAUCCGUUUUAACUUACGGAGGUAGAGCUACUGAAUGGUUCCGCGAGCGUAAGCGAGCGGAAUCAAUCAAACUCCGAAUGCCGUAAGGGUGACGGAUGGAGUCAGUCGAGCCGGGAUAAGCUGGUUUCGGCGAGAGGGAAACAUCCCAGACUCCCAUCUAAGGUUCCUAAAUGACUAUUAAGUGAAAAGGUCGUUAAGUCUCCAACACAGUUGGGAGGUUGGCUUAGAAGCAGCCAUCCUUUAAAGAGUGCGUAACAGCUCACCAAAAUAUGUCCGACUUUACGUCGGACUGGAGACUUGGCGCCAAAAAUGAUCGGAACUAAAUAGUCUACCGAAGAUGGAGUUCCGACGUCACGUCGGAAGGUAGAGGAGCGAUCUGAUGACGGUGAAGGUUACGACGUAAGUCGAACUGGAGUUCAUCAGAUGUGAGAAUGCUGACAUAAGUAGUGACUCUCCCGAUGAAAACUCGGGAUGCCGAAUGUCUAAGGUUUCCUCGGCAAUGUCAAUCAUCCGAGGGUAAGUCGAGACUAACCUCGUCUCGCACAAGAGGCGGGGGAUGUACAAACUGUUAAUAUUCAGUUACUUAUUUUUUAGCGUUAUUACUUGAUUGAUGACGAAGCUUGAUAGUCCCGCCCUUCUAUAUGAGGGGUUAAGCUAUAAGUCAUAUCGCAAGAUAUGGCGAGUAGCAAAUACGAUCCUGACGCAAGUCAGGAAAGCGGGAUGACUUAAGCUUCCGGGAAAAGUCAAUCAAGGAGCUAAAAAAUAACUCGUACCGCAAACCGACACAGGUAGACUGGUGGAGAACACCAAGGCAUACGGGUAAUGGGGGUUCAAGGAACUCGGCAAAAAAGCUGGGCGUAAGUUAAUCGAGAUGCCCUGUCCCGACUUAGUCGGGACCGCAGCGAAAGUUUGUCAACCGACUGUUUAACAAAAACACAGGUUCCUGCAAACCCGAAUAGGGGAUAUAUAGGAGCUGAGACCUGUCCGGUACUGGUAAGUCAACCGCUUUGGGUGACCCCGACUUAGUCGGGGAAGCUUGAGGCGUAAGCUCCAGUGAACGACAGCUCUAACCCUGAGAGUUCUAAGGUAGCGUAGCCCCUUGCCGGGUAAGUUCCGGCCCGCAUGAAAGGUUUAACGAGUUGACAACUGUCUUGAACCUCCACCCGACGAACUUGAAAUGGCUGUGAAGAUGCGGCCUACUUGCACAUGGACAAAAAGACCCCGAGAGCUUUACUGAAGUUAGGUAUUGGUGAGGGAAAAUUAACUGUUGAGUGUAGGAGGGAGGGCUUAGCCCGUCAAUGAAACACCUCUCUUUAAUUUUUCUUCACCUUAUCCGCCAGCUGGCGGAAACAGUGCCUGACGGUCAGUUUAACUGGGGCGGUUCCCUCCAAAAAGGUAACGGAGGGGCACUAAGGUCAGCUUGGUCCGGAUGGAAAUCGGACUGUAAGUGCAUACGCAUAAGCUGGCUUAACUGUGAGAGUGACCACUCGAGCAGAUGCGAAAGCAGGUGUAAGUGAUCCUCCGACUCGCUGUGAUGGCGGUCGGGGCUUAACGGAUAAAAGCUACCUCGGGGAUAACAGGCUAGUCGUUUCCGAGAGUUCAUAUCGACGAAACGGUUCGGCACCUCGAUGUCGGCUCACCGUAUCCUGGGGCUGAAGUCGGUCCCAAGGGUCGGGCUGUUCGCCCGUUAAAACGGUACGCGAGCUGGGUUCAGAACGUCGUGAGACAGUUCGGACUCUAUCCUGUGCAAGCGCUUGGAUUCUUGAGGGGGCACUCCUAUAGUACGAGAGGACCUAGGAUGUGGAAAUCCCUGGUGUACCGGUUGUCCCAAAAGGGCAUUGCCGGGUAGCUAUAUUUCCAUUCGAUAAGCACUGAAAGCAUCUCAAGUGCGAAGCGAACCCCAAGAUUAGGAAUCCAUCCGCCUUUAGGCGGGGCAGCCAUCCCGUAGAUUACGGGAUUAAUAGGCCUCAGGUGUAUGCCGAGAGG